GAAUUCACUAGUGAUUCAGGCCUAACACAAACAAGUCGAGCGGGGUUUUCGGACCUAGCAAAAGACGGGUGAGUAAUGCGUAGGAAGCUACCCGAUAGAGGGGGAUACCAGUUGGAAACGACUGUUAAUACCGCAUAAUGUCUACGGACCAAAGUGUGGGACCUUCGGGCCACAUGCUAUCGGAUGCGCCUACGUGGGAUUAGCUAGUUGGUGAGGUAAUGGCUCACCAAGGCGACGAUCUCUGGCUGGUUUGAGAGGAUGAUCAGCCACACUGGAUUUUAGGGGCGGUCCAGACUCCUACGGGAGGCAGCAGUGGGGAAUAUU
rnacentral:rRNA from 1 species